UGAAUAUGCUUCAGUUAUUAAAAAAUAAUAACGGCCGCUUGUGUUUGUAAUUUUUAUUGUUUCAGAUCAUGGCCCUGAAUAACGUGCUUACCAGAAGGAUGGAGACACCCUAUGCUAAACACCCACCAUUACACAUCCAUGUAGUGAAGCUGGAGGAUAGCCCAAAGGUGGUGGCUUGGGACUUCACAGAGACCACCGUUAAGGCGGCCACCAUCAGAAGAAACAAGGUGGCCAUUGUUUCUGACAGCAACAGUGUCACAAAAGUGACACUGUAAGAGGGGUUGGCCUCAAAAGUCGAAGAGGGGCGUAGCUAUGUUAUAAGGGGCUACACACUGCGGGGGCAGUCUCCCCCCUAUUAUCUUAACGUCGACAAGACCACAAUGUUUUUUCGAAGCAGCAUCAUCAGCGUGCCGCAAAACCUGCUGGAGGAGGCAGAUGCCCUCCUCCAUCCUGCCUCGCCCAUGACAGACAUCAAAGCCUGAACAGGGGUGCAAGGAUACAUGUCCAUGGAGGGAGAGGUUAUUGAGAUGUAUGCAGUCCGAAAGGUGAGGAGCGGCAAGGACUUCGUCCCGAUGCGACGCUUGACUUUGGAGCAGGACUCUCAACGAAUCUCUGUGACGCUGUGGAGGGAGGCUGCCAUAGCAACACUAAAUACUUGUGAAAGGGUCAACAUAACC